rnacentral:lncRNA from 1 species
CAAAGUUUAUAAAACCUGUCACAUUACAUAUGAAUGAAUGCAACAGAUGGUAUAGUAUUGCAAAAAGCUUGUCUUUUGUACAACAACCUGUCUUUGUAUUGAUAAUAUGUGACAGAAUACAUUCUCCUUUCUUUUUCCUCGAGGUUAGUCGAUUCCUUCGCUGUCCCAAUAUUCUUUAUUUGAUACCUGGAGGAGUAAUUUUAAUUGAAGUGAAUCAUUACGACAUAAUGACAACACUGUUCCGAUAUAACAAGAUUCAGUUCUCAUCGACGUAAUCAAUCUUUAAAAAAAUCUCCUUACAAGUCCGAAAAGCAGUAUAUUAAUUAAAAGCUCUGAUAACUUAAUAAUGUAGUUAAAAGUACGACUCUUUUGAUAUAUUGCAUACAAUAAAAAUUCCUGCAAAAAAAUAGAUCAGGUAGGAUGUAAGUGUAAGUGAUGCGUGGCGGUAAGUCGGAAAAAAUCUUUUUUUUUUUAUAGUUGAAAUAUCCGUUUUUAUAUUUAUUUUCUACGCCAUUAAAGUAUUUUUAUUCGUAAAAAAAUAGUUUAAAUUUGUUUAACACUAAAGCUCCGAUAACACUUCCCGAACACGUUUGUCAAAGACAAAGUCUACAUCCAAAAACGACAGUUUAAUGCCAAAGUAGAUAGGCAGAGAAACGGGCAGUGGAAAAAAAUGGAAUUUUUCACUACCAAUGAUCGUUUACCGAUAGUCAAGUGACGUCACUUCCUAGGUAGCGGAUUCUCUACUUCCGAACGGUGAUCCAUCAAUGUCACCAACGACCAAUGUCCGAGCUUCUGUCUUCUUAAACAGGACAUCUGUAUAAGUUAAACGUUUACUACGAGUUUGCAGGAACUGAAUAUAUAAUAUCCCUGGGUACAGUUUUCGUUUCAUAGUCAUUCACUAGUAGGACAUUUUCAGUAAGCAAUUAGUGUCAAAUGUCAUAUUGGCAUGAACGGAAUUCGUAAAAAGAAAUCAUUGCUACCCAUUCCAUUCGUAAACAAACGAUAAUCUGAGAUCUAAUCGAUUUCCAUCACAUAGGCCUAUAUUUAUGCAUAAUUUCCAACUUAAAACUGAUCUAAUUUAUUAUCGCCAGUCUAUGUACCAAGGUAAUCUACAUAGGCCUACAAUGUAACUCCUUGUAGCCACUUUGAAUUCUGACAAAUUACAUGUGCAUUGUGUUGCCAAAGUCAUGUAUUGUGAAAAUGAUUGAAUAGCCAUAAAAGCGUAAAGAUUUUGCAUAAUAUAUCAAGUUUAAAAUACUCGGUUAUUUUAUAUAAUAUGCUAUCGAUCCACAAUACAUUUUUGAAUGCAUAUUCUACGAUAAGUUCUAUUUAUAAAUAUAUAAUGUAGAC